rnacentral:rRNA from 1 species
AUACGUAGGGUGCGAGCGUUGACCGGAAUUACUGGGCGUAAAGCGCUCGUAGGUGGUUGGUCGCGUCGUCUGUGAAAUUCCGGGGCUUAACUUGGGGAGUGCAGUCGAUACGGGGCUACUUUGAGAUGUGUAGGGAAGACUGGAAUUCCUGGGGUAGCGGGGAAUUGCGCAGAUAUCAGGAGGAACACCGGUGGCGAAGGCGGGUCUCUGGGCAGUAACUGACGCUGAGGAGCGAAAGCAUGGGUAGCGAACAGGAUUAGAUACCCUGGUAGUCCAUGCCGUAAACGGUGGCCACUAGGUGUAGGGGUCUUCCACGACUUCUGUGCCGUAGCUAACGCAUUAAGCUCCCCGCCUGGGGAGUACGGCCGCAAGGCUAAAACUCAAAGGAAUUGACGGGG